GACGAACGCUGGCGGCGCGCUUAACACAUGCAAGUCGAGCGAUGAAACUUUAACAGAACCCUUCGGGGCGGAGAUAAGGGGGAGUAACGGCGGACGGGUGAGUAACACGUGAGUAACCUGCCUUAGACAUUGGGAUAGACUCGGGAAACCGGGAUUAAUACCAAAUAAAAUCAUAAUGAAACAUGUCAUAACGGUCAAAACUCCGGUGGUCUAAGAUGGACUUGCGUCCCAUUAGCUAGUUGGUAGAGUAAAAGCCUACCAAGGCGACGAUGGGUAGCCGGCCUGAGAGGGUGAACGGCCACUUUGGAACUGAGCAGCGGUCCAAACUCCUACGGGAUGCAGCAGUGGGGAAUAUUGCACAAUGGAGGGAACUCUGAUGCAGCGACGCCGCGUGAACGAAUAAGGCUUUCGAGUCGUAAAGUUCUUUUAUAUGGGAAGAUAAUGACGGUACCAUAAGAAAAAGCCCCGGCUAACUACGUG
rnacentral:rRNA from 1 species